rnacentral:piRNA from 1 species
UACCCACGAAAAAAUGGUACC